rnacentral:tRNA from 1 species
GGGGAGGUGGCUCAGUGGUUAUGAGCACUGGAUGCUCUUCCAGAGGAUCUGGGUUCAAUCUCAGCAACCACA